rnacentral:rRNA from 1 species
CGGGUGCUAAUACCGCAUAGGAAGUUUGUUCGCAUGAACAAACUUAGAAAGAUGGCUCUGCUAUCACUUAUCGAUGGCCUUGCGGUGCAUAACUAGUUGGCGAGGUAACGGCUCACCAAGGUGAUGAUGCAUAGCCGACCUGAGAGGGUAAUCGGCCACAUUGGGACUGAGACACGGCCCAAACUCCUACGGAGGCAGCAGU